UAAUGGAACCCCCAUGAAAGUAAUAAGGGCCAAGUAAUAAUACCUAGCACGAGUUCUUGUUCAUCUCUCAUUCCUCUAUUCACCAGAUGAAACAGAUUUCGCUUUAAGUGAAUUAUGGAGAAGGAUCUACUAAAUAAGCUGGUGAAGUCUCUGCAGAAGGUGCGGAUUUCUGUUGAGGAAGACUGUUGGUACAGGAAUUUCAGCACAGACACUGCCGGGGGAUUUUAGGAAGAAAUUGUCAAGUCUGUGAUAAAGAUCGCAAUUCUAGUGAAACACGGAGAGACUUUGAGGGCAGAAGUGAGCAAAAUAAUUGUGGAAAUUAUACAGAGUUUCGUAAAAAUUUAUAUCAACCGAGGUUUUAUAUGAUUUUCUGGAGCGCUUUGGUGAGGAAUUGCACCAGAUUUCAGCCUGACUAUGCCGAAAAGGAGGUGCGGAUUUCUGUUGAGGAAAACUUUUGGCUCAGGAAUUUCAGUGCAGACGCUGUUGAAGAAUUUUAGGAAAAAAUUAUCAAAAUAUGUUCAUAAAGGUCGCAAUUUUGAAACACGGAGAGACUUUCAGGGCAGAAGCGAGCAGAAUAAUUGUGGAAAUUAUACAGGGUUUGAAAUUUACAAUAAGCGAGGUUUUAUACGAUUUUCUGGAGCGCUUUGGUGAGGAAAUCCACCAGAUUUCAGGCUGCGAUGCCGAAAAGGUGGGGGUUUUCCAAUAGACGUGACUGCCGAGAACCCACCCAAAAUCCAGCCUUACUGUAAUUGAAAGACUGCCGCCAAAUAUGGUGGACGAUUUGAGACAUAAUUUUGCAGAAUGGCAGAUUUGCUGGCGCGAAAAUUAGCUGGAUUUUAAUCGGAUGCCCUCUGCUAGGGUAGUUUAGAUCUGGCUCUUCUGUUAGGUGUUACUAUUUCUUAGGUAGAUGCAGCGGCAAUGGCGCGGUUUUUUAGCGCUGCAUCGAAUUUAGAAAAGAAUCUGCUAAACAUGGCGGUGGAGUUUCUGGAGGCCAUGCGGCAGUGUUUUGAAAAGGAAUUUCAGCGCAGGUGCUGUCGGAAAAUUUAAGAGGAGAUUAUGGAAUGUGUGCCGAAGAUAGCGGGUUCGAAACACAGAGAGGAUUACAGGGCAGGUCUGAGCAUGAUAAUCGUGGAAAUUACACAGGGAUCUGGUAGUAAUUUUUAUGAGGCGAGAUUUGCUUUGGUUUUCUUGAUCUUCUUCAUAAUUGUGAGAGGUUGGAAGCUAGCGAUGCUGAAAAGUACAAGUGGAAGUUUGAAGUAAAAUGCCCUGCUUCUCACAUGACAUUCAAGAAAGCAGUAACGCAAAAAGAUCAAUUCAGAUCGCGGGUUCGAGACACAGAGUGGGCUACAGGGCAGGUCUGAGCAGGAUAAUCGCGGAAAUUACACAGGGAUUUGGUAGUAAUUUUCAUACAGGCGAGAUUUGCUUUGGUUUUCUUGAUCUUUGUCAUAAUUGUGAGAGGUUGGAGGCUGGCGAUGCUGAAAAGUACAAGUGGAAGAUUGAAGUAAAAUGUCCUGCUUCUUACAUGGCAUUCAAGAAAGCAGUAAUGCAAAAAGAUCAAUUUAGAUCGCGGGUUCGAGACACAGAAUGGGCUACAGGGCAGGUCUGAACAGGAUAUUACACAAGGAUUUGGUAAUAAUUUUCAUGAGGCGAGAUUUGCUAUGGUUUUCUUGAUCUGCUUUCGCGGGGAAUUGUGAGAGGUUGGAGACUGGCGAUGCCGAAAAGUACAAGUGGAAGUUUGAAGUAAAAUGUCCUGCUUCUUCUAUGGCAUUCAAGAAAGCAGUAACGCAAAAAGCUCAAUUUAGAUCGCGGGUUCGAGACACAGAGUGAGCUACAGGGCAGGUCUGAGCAGGAUAAUCGCGGAAAUUACAUUUGGAUUUGGUAAUAAUUUUCAUGAGGCGAGAUUCGCUAUGGUUUUCUUGAUCUGCUUUCGCGGGGAAUUGUGAGAGGUUGGAGGCUGGAGGCUGGCGUUGCCGAAAAGGGUGCAGGCAGAGGAUCUUCUAUCUCAACUCGAGCAUAAGGUUUCUCUGUCAAACAGAAAUUGGAGACUAUGUCCAGCCACAUCAGCUGAAGACCUGGAGAGGGAAGGUGGAAAUGACUCGGGCAAACCAAAUCAAAGUUUUACUUCGAACUUCAAUCCCUUAAUUAUCAAAGAAUGAUUAAGGACAGAACAAAAUCCUUUUUCGUUAGGAAUAAAGGAUUAAGGGCAGGGGAAAAUCCCUUUUAUUUGGGAAUCAUUAGAGGAUAAAGCAAAGUGACAAUUUACUGCUGAAUCAAGGCAACGAAUUUCUGAGACAAUUCCUGCAAUAGCGCUAAAAUACACAAUACACAUAAGACAGUUCAUUCCGGGCUCUCGCAUAUUGAAGACACCCAAUUCAAGAUAUGUAAUGGAUUUGAAUUUUGAUCAAUCCAGAGCUCGCAUAUAUUUCGGGUACCCAAAUUCAAAAUGGGCAAAAGAUUUGAACAAUUCAGAACUCCUAUAUUACGGAUACCCAAAUUCAAAAUAGGCAAACGAAUUUAUAAUUCAGUCCUUA